ACGGGAGGCAGCAGUGAGGAAUAUUGGUCAAUGGGCGGAAGCCUGAACCAGCCAAGUAGCGUGAAGGAUGACGGCCCUACGGGUUGUAAACUUCUUUUGCCGGGGGAUAAAAAACGGGACGCGUCCCGUCUUGCAGGUACCCGUGCGAAUAAGGACCGGCUAAAUCCGCGCCAGCAGCCGCGGUAAUACGGAAGGUCCUAGCGUUAUCCGGAUUUAUUGGGUUUAAAGGGUGCGCAGGCGGGAUGUCAAGUCAGUGGUGAAAUGGUGCGGCUCAACCGUAGCAUUGCCGUUGAAACUGGCGUCCUUGAGUGCGAAUGAGGUACGCGGAACGUGUCAUGUAGCGGUGAAAUGCAUAGAUAUGACACAGAACACCGAUUGCGAAGGCAGCGUACUGGGACGCGACUGACGCUGAGGCACGAAAGUGCGGGGAUCGAACAGGAUUAGAUACCCUGGUA
rnacentral:rRNA from 1 species